rnacentral:rRNA from 1 species
UACGGGGGGGGCAAGCGUUGUUCGGAAUUACUGGGCGUAAAGGGCGAGUAGGUGGCCAUCUAAGUCAGACGUGAAAUCCCCCGGCUUAACCUGGGAACUGCGUCUGAUACUGGACGGCUAGAGUAUGGGAGAGGAAUGUAGAAUUCCAGGUGUAGCGGUGAAAUGCGUAGAUAUCUGGAGGAAUACCGGUGGCGAAGGCGGCAUUCUGGACCAUUACUGACACUGAAUCGCGAAAGCUAGGGGAGCAAACGGG